rnacentral:lncRNA from 1 species
ACAAUCCAAAAUGGAUGCCGUUCGAAGGCACUAUAAACGUCGUGUUCAACAAGAUGUGAACUCUGCAGGGCUGUCAAUAAAUCGCCCGAACAGAGUCCCUUAUUAUCAAUCGUUAUUUCAGAAACCCACCGGUUUGCCAGUAUAUUUAUUAGGUCCAAAUGACAGGUUCAUCUACAGGUCAUGCAUGAUUGCAUCUGCUGCUGGAAUUGGUAUUUGCUUGGCAUCCAUAUACAUGAUGGCCAGUGGCAACUUGAAGAAAAAGCAAACAUAAACUUGAUAGAAAUAUCAUGUUGACACUUUUAAAGAAGUUAGAGGCAGCAUAAUGAAAUGUUGUAUAUUAUUUACAAGUGCAUUUAAAAUUGUUAAAUAAAAUGGGCAAGUUUUUGCCAAAACCUAGA